rnacentral:rRNA from 1 species
AGAGUUUGAUCCUGGCUCAAAAUCAACGCUGGCGGCGUGCCUAACACAUGCAAGUCGAACGCGAAAACGCCUUCGGGCGUGAGUAGAGUGGCGUACGGGUGAGUAACACGUAGGUAAUCUGCCUCCGGGUGGGGAAUAACUCGCCGAAAGGCGAGCUAAUACCGCAUAAAGCGAUCUUAUUUCUUCUUAGAUUGUUAAAGCGGGGGAUCUUCGGACCUCGCGCCUGGAGAGGAGCCUGCGGCCGAUUAGCUAGUUGGUGGGGUAAAGGCUCACCAAGGCAUCGAUCGGUAGCUGGUCUGAGAGGACGGCCAGCCACACUGGCACUGAAAUACGGGCCACACUCCUACGGGAGGCAGCAGUGGGGAAUUUUGGGCAAUGGGCGAAAGCCUGACCCAGCAACGCCGCGUGAGGGAGGAAAUCCUUCGGGAUGUACACCUCGCAAGCAGGGGAAGAAAUGCCGCGCAUGAAUAAUGUGCGGAGUUGACGGUACCCUGCGUAAGCCACGGCUAACUACGUGCCAGCAGCCGCGGUAAUACGUAGGUGGCAAGCGUUGUUCGGAAUUACUGGGCGUAAAGGGCGCGUAGGCGGUGCGUUAAGUCAGCUGUGAAAGCCCGGGGCUCACCCCCGGGAGGGUCGGCUGAUACUGGCGGACUAGAGUACAGAAGGAGGUAGCUGGAUCUCCC